rnacentral:rRNA from 1 species
AUACGGAGGGGGCAAGCGUUGUUCGGAAUUAUUGGGCGUAAAGCGUAUGUAGGCGGCUGGAUAAGUCAGACGUGUAAGCCCACGGCUCAACCGUGGAAUUGCGUUUGAAACUAUCCGACUUGAGUGCAGGAGAGGAAAGCGGAAUUUCCAGUGUAGCGGUGAAAUGCAUUGAUAUUGGGAAGAACACCGGUGGCGAAGGCGGCUUUCUGGUCUGACACUGACGCUGAGAUACGAAAGCCAGGGGAGCGAACGGGAUUAGAAACCCCGGUAGUCC